UAGCCGACCUGAGAGGGUGACCGGCCACAUUGGGACUGAGACACGGCCCAAACUCCUACGGGAGGCAGCAGUGGGGAAUAUUGCACAAUGGGGGAAACCCUGAUGCAGCGACGCCGCGUGAGCGAAGAAGUAUUUCGGUAUGUAAAGCUCCAUCAGCAGGGAAGAAAAUGACGGUACCUGACUAAGAAGCACCGGCUAAAUACGUGCCAGCAGCCGCGGUAAU
rnacentral:rRNA from 1 species